UCGGCGCCAGGGAGGCCUCGCGAUCCUUGAGGCGGGUCGAGAUAUCGGUGCGACAGCGCACUUCCAGUUGUGCGGCGUCGAA
rnacentral:tRNA from 1 species